UUUGUAACAUUGAUUACGCUUCUGAUCAACUAUAGGAAAGAUGAAGGAUCUAAUCCGUAUAUUGUGAAAUUAUCACUUCUCGACGAUGAGUUGGCGUUGAAUGGAUACCGUAUUAUUGUGCAGUAAAAGGAUGUGGAAACAAGGUUCUCAUAACGAAAAAUAACCCGGACAUUGUUUACCACACUUUUCUCCGAGAUGGAGAUAAAAAUCAAGGUAUAUGCUCACGUCAUUUCCAUAGCAGCAGCUACGAUGACCGACAUCAAAUGCGCCAUGAACUUAAUGGGCUGUGUGGUAUACGUUGCAAAUCGUGAAUAUUGUCA